UACCCGCAGCACAAGUGGUGGUCAUUAUUAUUGGGCCUAAAGCGUCCGUAGCUAGCCUGUUAGAUGCCUGGGUAAAUCGAUGCGCUUAACGCAUCGAAUUCCGGGUAGACCGGCAGGCUCGAGACCGGGAGAGGUGUAGGGUACUCGGGGGGUAGGGGUAAAAUCCUGUAAUCCUCCGGGGACGACCAGUGGCGAAGGCGCUACACUAGAACGGCUCUGACAGUGAGGGACGAAGCCCUGGGGCGCAAACCGG
rnacentral:rRNA from 1 species